AGUCGAGCGGCGCGCAAGGGAGUUUACUCCUGAGGUGGCGAGCGGCGGACGGGUGAGUAAUGCCUAGGGAUCUGCCCAGUCGAGGGGGAUAACAGUUGGAAACGACUGCUAAUACCGCAUACGCCCUACGGGGGAAAGGAGGGGACCUUCGGGCCUUCCGCGAUUGGAUGAACCUAGGUGGGAUUAGCUAGUUGGUGAGGUAAUGGCUCACCAAGGCGACGAUCCCUAGCUGUUCUGAGAGGAUGAUCAGCCACACUGGGACUGAGACACGGCCCAGACUCCUACGGGAGGCAGCAGUGGGGAAUAUUGCACAAUGGGGGAAACCCUGAUGCAGCCAUGCCGCGUGUGUGAAGAAGGCCUUCGGGUUGUAAAGCACUUUCAGUAGGGAGGAAAGGGUGUAGUUUAAUACGCUAUAUCUGUGACGUUACCUACAGAAGAAGGACCGCCUCACUCCGUGCCAGCAGCCGCGGUAAUACGGAGGGUCCGAGCGUUAAUCGGAAUUACUGGGCGUAAAGCGUGCGCAGGCGGUUUGUUAAGCGAGAUGUGAAAGCCCUGGGCUCAACCUAGGAAUAGCA
rnacentral:rRNA from 1 species